UACGUAGGGUGCAAGCGUUGUCCGGAAUUAUUGGGCGUAAAGAGCGUGUAGGCGGCUCGAUAAGUCUGCUGUGAAAGCCCAGGGCUCAACCCUGGGAUGCCGGUAGAUACUGUCGAGCUAGAGUCCGGAAGAGGCGAGUGGAAUUCCUGGUGUAGCGGUGAAAUGCGCAGAUAUCAGGAGGAACACCAGUGGCGAAGGCGGCUCGCUGGGACGAUACUGACGCUGAGACGCGAAAGCGUGGGGAGCAAACAGG
rnacentral:rRNA from 1 species